AAAUUCAUUCGCGUUUCGGCCGUCGAAGUUGGACGUUUGUAUGACGGAUGUAGUUCGACUGCGUCUGCGUCUUACGUUUUUCGAGUCGAUGUCGAACGCGUGCACUUUUCCUCUAGUAGGACGUCGCGAUCCGUUGGGUGUCUGUCUAAGACUUGGGGUGGAGCCCGUGCGAUUUCGAUCGUGCGGACCCUCGAUGUUCCGACAGACUCGCUCGACGGUAUACUAAUGGCGAAGGGGCGCUACCUCAGUUAGCGUUCGGCCCGUAGCAAGCACGUUCUGUGUUUGACAGCGAUCGGACCUGGUGCCGAUUCUGUUCCGGAACGACUGUUGGUUACGGUGUUCUCGAACAGACCUCG
rnacentral:rRNA from 1 species